CAGUCGCCGCGGGAACACGAAGGGUGCAAGCGUUAAUCGGAAUCACUGGGCGUAAAGCGUGCGUAGGCGGUUUGUUAAGUCUGCUGUGAAAUCCCCGGGCUCAACCUGGGAAUGGCAGUGGAUACUGGCAAGCUAGAGUGUGUCAGAGGAUGGUGGAAUUCCCGGUGUAGCGGUGAAAUGCGUAGAGAUCGGGAGGAACAUCAGUGGCGAAGGCGGCCAUCUGGGACAACACUGACGCUGAGGCACGAAAGCGUGGGGAGCAAACAGGAUUAGAUACCCCCGUAGUCCCUGUCUCUUAUAU
rnacentral:rRNA from 1 species